AUUGAACGCUGGCGGCAGGCCUAACACAUGCAAGUCGAACGAGUGGCGGACGGGUGUGUAUAGUCUGUGAAACUGCCCGAUGGAGGGGGAUAACUCCUGGAAACGGUAGCUAAUACCGCAUACCCUCGGAUGUGCCCAGAUGAGAUUAGCUUGUAGGUGGGGUAACGGCUCACCUAGGCGACGAUCCCUAGCUGGUCUGAGAGGAUGACCAGCCACACUGGAACUGAGACACGGUCCAGACUCCUACGGGAGGCAGCAGUGGGGAAUAUUGCACAAUGGGCGCAAGCCUGAUGCAGCCAUGCCGCGUGUAUGAAGAAGGCCUUCGGGUUGUAAAGUACUUUCAGCGGGGAGGCGUUACCCGCAGAAGAAGCACCGGCUAACUCCGUGCCAGCAGCCGCGGUAAUAC
rnacentral:rRNA from 1 species